rnacentral:rRNA from 1 species
UACAGAGGUGGCAAGCGUUGUUCGGAUUUACUGGGCGUAAAGCGCGCGUAGGCGGACCUGCAAGUCGGGGGUGAAAGCCCGAGGCUCAACCUCGGAACUGCCUUCGAUACUGCGGGUCUCGAGUCCGGGAGAGGUGAGUGGAAUUCCUAGUGUAGAGGUGAAAUUCGUAGAUAUUCGCAAGAACACCAGUGGCGAAGGCGGCUCACUGGCCCGAUACUGACGCUGAGGCACGAAAGCGUGGGGGAGCAAACAGG